rnacentral:rRNA from 1 species
UACGGAGGGUGCAAGCGUUAUCCGGAUUCACUGGGUUUAAAGGGUGCGUAGGUGGGCAAGUAAGUCAGUGGUGAAAUCUCCGGGCUUAACCCGGAAACUGCCAUUGAUACUAUUUGUCUUGAAUACUGUGGAGGUCAGCGGAAUAUGUCAUGGUAGCGGUGAAAAUGCUUAGAUAUGACAUAGAACACCAAUUGCGAAGGCAGCUGGCUACACAAAUAUUGACACUGAGGCACGAAAGCGUGGGGAUCAAACAGG